CUCUUAGCAGGGGAUAACUUUUGGAAACAAGUGCUAAUACCGUAUAACACUAACAACCGCAUGGUUGUUAGUUGAAAGAUGGUUCUGCUAUCACUAAGAGAUGGACCCGCGGUGCAUUAGCUAGUUGGUAAGGUAAUGGCUUACCAAGGCGAUGAUGCGUAGCCGAGUUGAGAGACUGAUCGGCCACAAUGGGACUGAGACACGGCCCAUACUCCUACGGGAGGCAGCAGUAGGGAAUCUUCCACAAUGGGCGCAAGCCUGAUGGAGCAACGCCGCGUGUGUGAUGAAGGGUUUCGGCUCGUAAAACACUGUUAUAAGAGAAGAACGACAUUGAGAGUAACUGUUCAGUGUGUGACGGUAUCUUAUCAGAAAGGAACGGCUAAAUACGUGCCAGCAGCCGCGGUAAUACGUAUGUUCCAAGCGUUAUCCGGAUUUAUUGGGCGUAAAGCGAGCGCAGACGGUUAUUUAAGUCUGAAGUGAAAGCCCUCAGCUCAACUGAGGAAGGGCUUUGGAAACUGGAUAACUUGAGUGCAGUAGAGGAAAGUGGAACUCCAUGUGUAGCGGUGAAAUGCGUAGAUAUAUGGAAGAACACCGGUGGCGAAAGCGGCUUUCUGGACUGUAACUGACGUUGAGGCU
rnacentral:rRNA from 1 species